GGAAGGAUCAUUAAAAACAAUCCAUUGUUAACCCAUCUGCGAACUUGUUUAACCGUAGCGGUACGAGGGGACAAAGAAAGAUGUGGCGUGGGCCCUUAAAAAAGGCCUUGUUUCUUUGUUCGCCCACACGAAAGUGAGGGGCCUCUAUUGCUAUUUCGCCAUGUUUAUUUUAUUAACCCCUUUUACUUUAACUUUGUACUAAAUCUUUUUUUUUUCGUGAAUCUCUUCGCGGAGCUUCUGAAAAAUCAAAAAAACAUUAAAAAAACAUCGAACAACUCUUAACAACGGAUAUCUAGGCUCUCAUCUCGAUGAAGAACGCAGCGAAAUGCGAUACGUAAUGCGAAUUGCAGGAUUCAGUGAAUCAUCAAAUCUUUGAACGCAUCUUGCGCUUUCGGGUGACCGAGAGCAUGCCUCUUUGAGUAUCGUUUUAACACCACUCGGCUGCGACCUUUCGAGGUUGCUAAGUCCGGACAAUGAGAGUCUUUUCGAUAAAAAGGAAAGUCUCUUUAAGUUCCUGUGAAAACUCACACAUGUUUUGACCCAAGAAUGGCAGCGCUCAUUCUCUGGUUGAUGCUUGAUACUUGACUUCGGUCAUUCUCUGCAUCUUGACUGGAGCGUAGGUGUCUCAUAGGUUUUUGGGUGUAACAGGCAUUCGUGCCUAGGCAUAUGGGAGCGACAAGUAAGGAAAAACUUUAAACAACUCGAUCUCAAAUGAAGCAAGACUACCCGCCGAAUUUAAGCAUAUAAUUAAGCGGAGGAAAAGAAACUAACAAGGAUUCCCCUAGUAACGGCGAGUGAACCGGGAAAAGCUCAAAGUUUAAAUCGACGUUCUUAGCGGGGCGUCGAGAUGUAAGCUCGAGACGGAAGCCCAGCAACGACCCGGGUAUAAGCUCCUUGGAACAGAGUGUCAGAGAGGGUGAGAAUCCCGUCUUUGACUCGGAGUUCGGUGCGUACGGGAACCGGUCAGAGAGUCGUGUACCUUGGGAAUGGUGCACUAAAUGGGUGGUAAAUUCCAUCUAAAGCUAAAUAUCGAUGAGAGACCGAUAGCGAACAAGUACCGUGAGGGAAAGGUGAAAAGAACUUUGAAAAGAGAGUUAAAAAGUACUUGAAAUUGUUAGGAGGUAAGCACUGAGAACCAGUAGUGCUGGGUACAUAUUUUCCUUUCGUGCGUGACUGCCUGCUAACCGUACCUCUAAAGGCGGUUGGUAAAGCAGAGAGCGCACGGUGGGCUCCUGUGUGCACAGUGAGUCAGGAUCAAGUAGAUCAACGCGAGAAGGUCUCUAUAAGGUGCUCGCAGAGAUGUGAGUCAAGGAUAGGGAUUAUAGCGUAGAUUUGCUUGAGGCAUGAUCAACACCCGCCGCAAGGCAGCGUAACUAUCUCUGCAAGUGUUCUUGGGAUAUAAGGGGCAAACUCCUUAUACCUGGGGCAUGAGUACUAGGUGGGUAUCGACUUGGGUGUUCGCGAUCCUGACGAAAUGGUUUUCAUUGACCCGUCUUGAAACACGGACCAAGGAGUCUAGCAUAUAUGCGAGUAUUUGGGUGGAAAACCCUGGUGCGUAAUGAAAGUGAAAGGUAGGAACCGUAACUGGUGCACUAUCGACCGAUCUUUUGCUUGCAGAAGAUUUGAGUAGGAGCAUAUCUGCUGGGACCCGAAAGAUGGUGAACUAUGCCUGAUCAGGGUGAAGCCAGGGGAAACUCUGGUGGAGGCUCGUAGCGAUACUGACGUGCAAAUCGUUCGUCUGAAUUGGGUAUAGGGGCGAAAGACUAAUCGAACCAUCUAGUUGCUGGUUCACGC
rnacentral:misc_RNA from 1 species